rnacentral:rRNA from 1 species
CCUACGGGAGGCAGCAGUGGGGAAUUUUGGACAAUGGGCGCAAGCCUGAUCCAGCAAUGCCGCGUGCAGGAUGAAGGCCUUCGGGUUGUAAACUGCUUUUGUACGGAACGAAAAAGUCUGCCCUAAUACGGUGGGCCCAUGACGGUACCGUAAGAAUAAGCACCGGCUAACUACGUGCCAGCAGCCGCGGUAAUACGUAGGGUGCGAGCGUUAAUCGGAAUUACUGGGCGUAAAGCGUGCGCAGGCGGUUAUAUAAGACAGAUGUGAAAUCCCCGGGCUCAACCUGGGACCUGCAUUUGUGACUGUAUAGCUAGAGUACGGUAGAGGGGGAUGGAAUUCCGCGUGUAGCAGUGAAAUGCGUAGAUAUGCGGAGGAACACCGAUGGCGAAGGCAAUCCCCUGGACCUGUACUGACGCUCAUGCACGAAAGCGUGGGGAGCAAACAGGAUUAGAUACCCUGGUAGUCACGCCCUAAACGAUGUCAACUGGUUNUUGGGUCUUNAACUNAUCAUAGAGCACGCGNGAGUAGACGCG